rnacentral:rRNA from 1 species
AUUGAACGCUGGCGGCAUGCUUUACACAUGCAAGUCGAACGGUAACAGGCCGCAAGGUGCUGACGAGUGGCGAACGGGUGAGUAAUGCAUCGGAACGUGCCCAGUCGUGGGGGAUAACGCAGCGAAAGCUGCGCUAAUACCGCAUACGAUCUAUGGAUGAAAGCGGGGGACCGUAAGGCCUCGCGCGAUUGGAGCGGUCGAUGUCAGAUUAGGUAGUUGGUGGGGUAAAGGCUCACCAAGCCAACGAUCUGUAGCUGGUCUGAGAGGACGACCAGCCACACUGGGACUGAGACACGGCCCAGACUCCUACGGGAGGCAGCAGUGGGGAAUUUUGGACAAUGGGCGCAAGCCUGAUCCAGCAAUGCCGCGUGCAGGAAGAAGGCCUUCGGGUUGUAAACUGCUUUUGUACGGAACGAAACGGUCCUGGUUAAUACCCGGGGCUAAUGACGGUACCGUAAGAAUAAGCACCGGCUAACUACGUGCCAGCCGCCGCAGUAAGAC